rnacentral:rRNA from 1 species
AAGUCGAGCGAGCGGAACAACAGAUUUACUUCGGUAAUGACGUUGGGAAAGCGAGCGGCGGAUGGGUGAGUAACACGUGGGGAACCUGCCCCUAAGUCUGGGAUACCAUUUGGAAACAGGUGCUAAUACCGGAUAAUAAAGCAGAUCGCAUGAUCAGCUUUUGAAAGGCGGCGUAAGCUGUCGCUAAGGGAUGGCCCCGCGGUGCAUUAGCUAGUUGGUAAGGUAACGGCUUACCAAGGCGACGAUGCAUAGCCGAGUUGAGAGACUGAUCGGCCACAUUGGGACUGAGACACGGCCCAAACUCCUACGGGAGGCAGCAGUAGGGAAUCUUCCACAAUGGACGCAAGUCUGAUGGAGCAACGCCGCGUGAGUGAAGAAGGUUUUCGGAUCGUAAAGCUCUGUUGUUGGUGAAGAAGGAUAGAGGUAGUAACUGGCCUUUAUUUGACGGUAAUCAACCAGAAAGUCACGGCUAACUACGUGCCAGCAGCCGCGGUAAUACGUAGGUGGCAAGCGUUGUCCGGAUUUAUUGGGCGUAAAGCGAGCGCAGGCGGAAAAAUAAGUCUAAUGUGAAAGCCCUCGGCUUAACCGAGGAACUGCAUCGGAAACUGUUUUUCUUGAGUGCAGAAGAGGAGAGUGGAACUCCAUGUGUAGCGG